rnacentral:rRNA from 1 species
UGGGGAAUAUUGCACAAUGGGCGCAAGCCUGAUGCAGCCAUGCCGCGUGUGUGAAGAAGGCCUUCGGGUUGUAAAGCACUUUCAGCGAGGAGGAAGGUGGUGAACUUAAUACGUUCAUCAAUUGACGUUACUCGCAGAAGAAGCACCGGCUAACUCCGUGCCAGCAGCCGCGGUAAUACGGAGGGUGCAAGCGUUAAUCGGAAUUACUGGGCGUAAAGCGCACGCAGGCGGUUUGUUAAGUCAGAUGUGAAAUCCCCGGGCUCAACCUGGGAACUGCAUUUGAAACUGGCAAGCUAGAGUCUCGUAGAGGGGGGUAGAAUUCCAGGUGUAGCGGUGAAAUGCGUAGAGAUCUGGAGGAAUACCGGUGGCGAAGGCGGCCCCCCUGGACGAAGACUGACGCUCAGGUGCGAAAGCGUGGGGAGCAAACAGAUUAGAUACCCUGGUAGUCACGCUGUAAACGAUGUCGAUUUUGGAGGUUGUGCCCUUGAGGCGUGGCUUCCGGAGCUAACGCGUUAAAUCGACCGCCUGGGGAGUACGGCCGCAAGGUUAAAACUUAAAGGAAUUG